rnacentral:lncRNA from 1 species
GUUUACUCUCACCCAGUGAGUUCCCAGAGAGUUAUAUGGGGACUUGGUCAGCUGUGCUGUGAGGUCAUAAUCUCAGUAUGUCCCACAUGGAAUGUCGCUGGUCAUUGUCCCUGAGCAAGAAGCACCCCUUGGGAGCAGAGAGUAAGCACUUAAUUGAAGGCUUUCAGUGAAGUGGUGGCUGAGGGUGAGUCUAGGGGGCAGCUGGCACCAGGCCGCCUGCCAUCACACUCUUGCUGGCCUCCGCCAGGGUCCCAGCUUUCUCUGAAGACAGCCCGUGGUGGCAGGAAACAGCCAGAAGCCAGAGGCAGUGCCUGAGGGCUUCUGAUGACAGUAGUUUAGCCAAGAACCAGACCCACAAAUGUGGGCAAGUUGGUCUGUUCUUGGGGCUAGGGGAGCAGAGUGCACCAGUAUGCUAAGGAUAGUCCCCUGUAGGGGCAAAGUAAGCCCCAACCAAGAUUCAGGGAAACAAAUCUGGCAGGAAGGAAGCUUUAGUCACUGGAAUGCCAGAAGGCUUUCUUUCUAGUCCACAUCAGCAGAAGACACUUUCUAGGAGGUUCUGAGUGACCAGAAGGACAAUGAGCCUGGAACCUGGACUCUGUGAGCCAUACAGGGUAGAGGAAGGAGAAGAUGAGGGUAUCCUGUGGAUGGGGAGGCAUAAAGAAGCUUCUGGGUCUAGGAAGAUGUGGAAGUGAUGAAGAGGAAGCAACUUUGAGAAGCCCUGGGCUUUCAGAAACCAGGGGCCAUUCUGUUCAUCGUGGAUGUUCAAGAGGGCAAGUAAUAACAAGCCAACUUGCCACUCCUGCCAGGCACCUAGGGGGAUGCCGGUGGAUGUCACCAGAACCUAUUGCUCUACUGUCACUCUUUGCCUCUACCACUCCACUGAUUACCCUUCUGGGGGUCGAGAAUUGCAUUGUGCAAUAGAAUAUCAACUUUGAGACAGGAAACCAAGUAGAGUGGAAGUUUCUCAAACUGGGUAAGGAUGUAACAAAAACAAAACCCAUCUUGAAUGACCACUGAAUCUUCAGUUUCCCAGAGGAGGCUGGGACCCAAACUGAUGUCUGGGCAGGGAUGAGUAAUAUGUCCAUAAAGCCUUGUAGACUUCUGGGACUGCACAAGCCCUGUGCCUCCUACCUGCAGGGUGGUGGCAGGGCACCUUUAACGAAGCAUUAUCAUUGGGUAAAUGCCCUGGGACUUGGUCAUUUAAGGAUCACUCCGGCCAGUGAUGCAAUAGGGAUGUCAUUGGUUUUUUAGCACGCAUCAUUGGCCAGUAGCUUGCCGUUGGGUCUGGGUGGGAGCACUGAGACUAGUGCCUACAGAGGAAGUGCCAGACUGGGCUGAGGCUGUACCUGGGAGCUGGGCAGAAAUGACAUUUUCUCCACCUCCAGGGAGCUGGAUCUUGCCGGACCAGGCAGCGGAGGCAGGAACAGAAAUCUCAAGCUUUGGUUUUCUUGUUGCCCCACAUUGCCGUAUGGACUCUGCAUCUCCUCCGCUCCCCUCCCCCCAAAUCGUUGCCCACUGAAGCCAGACAAAAUAAUGUGCUCCCCCAUCUCUUUCAAAAAAGUGGAACGCAAGUCACGGGAAGCUUUGCUUUUCCUCUGACUUCUUCCUGUAAACCACAGUUCAGGACUUGGUGCAGGAAGAGUCAGCUCUCAAACCGAAGCCGACCUUGCUUUUUAACCUCCUGAGACACCGGGGCCAAGUUCUCCGCUGUCCCCUCCCCUGGGCGGGGGGGUGUGGUGCGGGCCGAGCUGACCGGGGGCCCGGG